UGCCGGCUUAGCUCAGUUGGUAGAGCAGUUGAUUUGUAAUCAUCAGGUCGGGAGUUCGAGUCCCAGCCGGCACC
rnacentral:tRNA from 1 species